rnacentral:tRNA from 1 species
GGAUUGUGGCUCAGUGGCAGAGCGCUUGCUUCCCACACAUGAGGCACUGGGUUUAAUCCUCAGCACCA